AAAGCAGAUGGCUUUUUUCUUGACUCUGCUUUGUUCUUCUUUAACAGCCUCUUUACAAAAGCUUCCCAGAAGCGGAUGCUCCAGGUCGGCUCAGCACUCGAGAACAGCAGAAUCCGGUUAUCUAAGAAGGGUAUACGCUACCUGUGUGCGAGUGCCCAUGGAGACUAGAAGAGAGUAUCUGAUGCCCUGGAGCUGGAGCCGUGGAUAGGAGCCUAGCAUAACUGUCCUCUGAGAGGUUAUCCCCAGAAGCUGACUGAAACAGAUGCAAAGCCCUGAAGGGAAUGGAAACUCCACUGAAAGACCAGCAGAAUCAACUAACCUGGACCACUGAGAACUCCCAGAGACUUUAGCCACCAACUAAAGAACAUGCAUGGGCUGAGAACCAGACCUUCUGCGUUUCAGUGUUCCUGUGGGUCUCUGGAAAUUGGACUGAGAGCUCUUCCUAAAGCCUAACUGUGGAAUCCAUUCCCCAACAGGGCUGCCUUGUCUAGCCUCAGUGGGAGAGGAUACACCUAAUCCUGCAGAGGCUUGACUCUCCAGGGUCAUGGGGGAGGGGCAUGCCAAGGAGAUCCCACCUUCUGAGAGGAGAACAGGAAGGGGAGGGGGUGAAGGGAAAGGACUCUGUGAGAGGGGGACCAGGAGGAGGAGUAGCCUUUGGGAUGUAAACAAACAAACAAAUUAGAGGUGUGGCCAUGUUGGAGUAAGUGUGGCUGCUUUCCUGGCUCCUAGCUCCCUCUCCAGCACCACAUUUGCCUGUAUGCUGCCAUGUUUCCUGCCAUGAUGAUAAUGGACUAAUCUGAAACUGUAAGCCAGAAGUAACUGAAUGUUUGCCUUUAUAAGACUUGCCUUGGUCAUGGUGUCUGUUCACAGCAAUGGAAACUCUAAUUAAGAUAAUGUAUAUAUUUGUGGCUUCCAGUUUAGUAUUUGUAGUUGUCUGCAAAUAAAGUGGGUCUCUGUUUUUUGUGCUUUC